GCAUUGUGAAUUGCAGAAUUCCGUGAACCAAUAGGGAUUUGAACGUAUACUGCGCUUUCGGGAUAUCCCUGAAAGCAUGCCUGCUUCAGUGUCUACUGAUAUUCAUGCCACCGGCGCUUUCCAAAGCAAUUUGGUACUGCCGCGUGUGCGUCUUUGUGUGUCAAGGAGCUCUGCCCUUGACGCAUUCAGUGCACAGGCGCUGUCCACAACAAGCAAUUUGAAUAACACCUCUGGUGUCGUUUAUUGCUUCGUUGCUGGCCGCAUGCCUGCUACUCUUCGAAAGUCUUCGAUCUUAUUCAAGACAUGAAGUUAGGUCAGCAAACCCGCUGAAUUUAAGCAUAUCAAUA
rnacentral:rRNA from 1 species